CCUACGGGUGGCAGCAGUGAGGAAUAUUGGUCAAUGGGCGCGAGCCUGAACCAGCCAAGUAGCGUGAAGGAUGACUGCCCUACGGGUUGUAAACUUCUUUUAUAAAGGAAUAAAGUGAGGCACGUGUGCCUUUUUGUAUGUACUUUAUGAAUAAGGAUCGCUAACCCCGUUCCAGCAGCCGCCGUAAAACGGAGGAAUCGAGGGUUAACCGGAUUUUUUGGGUUUAAAGGGAGCGUAGAUGGGUUGUUAAGUCAGUUGUGAAAGUUUGCGGCUCAACCGUAAAAUUGCAAUUGAUACUGGCAGCCUUGAGUACAGUUGAGGUAGGCGGAAUUCGUGGUGUAGCGGUGAAAUGCUUAGAUAUCACGAAGAACUCCGAUUGCGAAGGCAGCUUACUAAACUGCCACUGACAUUGAUGCUCGAAAGUGUGGGUAUCAAACAGGAUUAGAUACCCUUGUAGUC
rnacentral:rRNA from 1 species